rnacentral:snRNA from 17 species
AGCUUUGCGCAGUGGCAGUAACAUAGCCAAUGAGGUCCAACCGAGGCGUGAUUAUUGCUGAAGCUUGAUGAAAGCGGAGGAGCUGUGUUCCCAUGAGGUAAAGUGCCUGGCUUAUUUUUAGUCGGGGGCUAUGCACAUGCACCUUCUGCCUAAUCAUGCUUCACUUCCUUUGCCCCAGCCAUUAGUUGGGCGGGAGGUAUUUUUCUUAUUAUUUUUUCU